CCCCCAGACUCCUACGGGAGGCAGCAGUGAGGAAUAUUGGUCAAUGGGCUUACGCCUGAACCAGCCAAGUCGCGUGAGGGAAGACUGCCCUAUGGGUUGUAAACCUCUUUUGUCAGGGAGCAACGCCGGCUACGUGUAGCCGGGCUGAGAGUACCUGAAGAAAAAGCAUCGGCUAACUCCGUGCCAGCAGCCGCGGUAAUACGGAGGAUGCGAGCGUUAUCCGGAUUUAUUGGGUUUAAAGGGUGCGUAGGCGGAAUGCCAAGUCAGCGGUAAAAUCGCGGGGCUCAACCCCGUCGUGCCGUUGAAACUGAUGUUCUUGAGUGGGCGAGAAGUAUGCGGAAUGCGUGGUGUAGCGGUGAAAUGCAUAGAUAUCACGCAGAACUCCGAUUGCGAAGGCAGCAUGCCGGCUCCACACUGACGCUGAGGCACGAAAGCGUGGGUAUCGAACGGGAUUAGAUACCCCUGUAG
rnacentral:rRNA from 1 species